rnacentral:lncRNA from 1 species
AUUAAGUGAGAGAUAUUUUAGUAGCCAACAUGAUGAUGUUCUUUUACACAAUGUCAAUUGUGAAUAAUUUCAUCUUCAGGUACCGUCCUUCCUUUAGGGGAUAUAUAUCUAACAGUAAUAAUUAGCCAGUAAGCAUGAAGAUUUCAAUUCAACCCUGUUAAGGCGGAUUCGCUCAACUCCUAUCUUAGUCGACUGGGAUUGCCAGUUUUCUUACCGAAGACCGGAGUGUCUACUGGAAGCCUUCAACAAUAAAAGGAAACUAGUAGUCGAAAACUGAGCUAGCAAAACAAUUCAUUUAAUGAAACACGCAGAUCAAAACUAUUUGCUUGGAAAUGCAAAUAAUUUUUGUACGCAUAUAUUUGCUAUUUAUCGUUAUAACAAGUUAGCAACCUGCAUAUCAUAUAUAAAUAUUCUCGUCCUAAAUUCAUUUAAUGAAGUAAUCUAAGUUUAACAACUUCUAACAAUCUAACUAUGACUAUAAAAAAAGGUCUAUAGCACCAUAAACUUUACUAAGUCCAUAGUCUCUGUCCCUCUGUCUGUCUUUUAAUGUUUCCCGCUUUUCAAAACAAAUCAAGUCAACAUCUCCACCUGUUCUCACCUUUUUGCCAUCGAACACCACCACGUUAGACUUGUUGUUUUGGUCUGUGUCGGAUUUCAUCUUUAUCAUUGAUGUAAGUAUUCCUGGCGGCAUUUCAGUUUCAAAAUUAUUUCCUAAAGGAUUAAUAUCUCAUAAACUGUUCUCACUUGGACAAGGAAUUUUUUUUGAAUGCAUUGGAUCUAGUAGUUGACUCUCGCCUUGUAGGUAUGCUGUUUCAUUUCUUAGACCAGACAUGAAUCUAAUAAAACGUCG